AAUAUUACGGAGCAAAACGCAGUUAUUGUGGCGGUCGCUCUUCAUACAUUCGUGUACCCGCAUGACACGAUUCACUAGAAUGAUGCAUCUUCAAUUAACACCGGAUCUACGAAUGAAAUAGAGGGAGAGAGAACAGAACCAUAGCUGAGCACAGUCCUGGUAAUGCUUCAAUGGAUGCUGAUUUAACCACUACCGAGAUCAUGUCGGAGGUGAUACAUGAGAACAGUACGGCACUACUGCGAGAAUUUAACAAACAUUCGAAUUCGCUAGCGAUAAAAUGUUCAACAUGAAUGUUUCAAUUUCAUCAUUUGUUUUUGUUUUAUGUGAAAUAUUAUUAAAGUCGCCUGCCCAAGAGCAACACGUUAUA